rnacentral:rRNA from 1 species
CAGACGGGUGAGUAACGCGUGGGAACAUACCCUUUCCUGCGGAAUAGCUCCGGGAAACUGGAAUUAAUACCGCAUACGCCCUACGGGGGAAAGAUUUAUCGGGGAAGGAUUGGCCCGCGUUGGAUUAGCUAGUUGGUGGGGUAAAGGCCUACCAAGGCGACGAUCCAUAGCUGGUCUGAGAGGAUGAUCAGCCACAUUGGGACUGAGACACGGCCCAAACUCCUACGGGAGGCAGCAGUGGGGAAUAUUGGACAAUGGGCGCAAGCCUGAUCCAGCCAUGCCGCGUGAGUGAUGAAGGCCUUAGGGUUGUAAAGCUCUUUCACCGGAGAAGAUAAUGACGGUAUCCGGAGAAGAAGCCCCGGCUAACUUCGUGCCAGCAGCCGCGGUAAUACGAAGGGGGCUAGCGUUGUUCGGAAUUACUGGGCGUAAAGCGCACGUAGGCGGAUAUUUAAGUCAGGGGUGAAAUCCCAGAGCUCAACUCUGGAACUGCCUUUGAUACUGGGUAUCUUGAGUAUGGAAGAGGUAAGUGGAAUUCCGAGUGUAGAGGUGAAAUUCGUAGAUAUUCGGAGGAACACCAGUGGCGAAGGCGGCUUACUGGUCCAUUACUGACG